rnacentral:tRNA from 1 species
GCAUUAGUAGCUCAGAACCAGAGCAUCGGCCUUGUAAGCCGAGUGUCGGAGGUUAAAGUCCCCCCUACUGCU